UUUCUUUUAUUUUUUAAAUUUAGAUAAUUGAUUACGAACAUGAAAAUUAUUUUUGGAGAGAGAGUUCUAAAGGUGAGACUUGACACUAUCAACUUCAUUGAAUUUAAAUCUAUUUUGUUAUUUGCUUUGAGAAACUUAUUUGAUGUAGAUAUUUGAAUUUGGAUAUCAUUGGUUUGGUUAAUAAAUUUAAGUUUUUGAUUUUUAAUAUUUUUAAUUAAUUUUGUCAUGAUGCAUUUAUAUCAUAUUUGGAAUGCCUUGCAUACUUAUAGAGAAGAGCUAUCA
rnacentral:lncRNA from 1 species